GACGGAGGGUGCUAGCGUUGUUCGGAAUCACUGGGCGUAAAGGGCGCGUAGGCGGCCUUGCAAGUCGGUUGGUGAAAGCCCGGGGCUCAACCCCGGAGGUGCGGCCGAGACUGCAGGGCUGGAGGCCGGAAGAGGAGGGUGGAAUACCCAGUGUAGAGGUGAAAUUCGUAGAUAUUGGGUGGAACACCGGUGACGAAAGCGGCUCUCUGGUCCGGACCUGACGCUGAGGCGCGAAAGCGUGGGGAGCAAACAGG
rnacentral:rRNA from 1 species